UCACCAGGGAGUCAGGUGACUCCUUCCCUCUGUUACGUCACUCCCCGCAGCAGCAGCAGUAGGCGCGGCAGGUGUGCAGAGAGCGAGCGGGAGCAGCGGGGCCGGCGUGACAUAGGCAAAGGGAUCAUUUCCUGAGAAUCCUAGAGCGCUACUGGUUGAGACACAAAUCUCCAUCAUCAGCUUGUUUUGUCUUGUAGGAAAGAUUUUGCAUCCCACAUGAAUUACGAAAAUCCUCCACCUUAUUCUGGCCCAGGCCCGAAUGCUCCAUACCCAC